GAAAACGUCGUGUAAUGGUAACACGCCAGCUUGUCGAGCUGCGAAAUGUCGGUUCGAAUCCGGUCGUUGGCG
rnacentral:tRNA from 1 species